rnacentral:misc_RNA from 1 species
AGUUGUUGGCAUGGUGGCAUUUUAGAGGAAGUUGAUGAGGGUUAUGCUUAUUUCUGAAUUUCUGCAUGGAAAUUUCUUAAUGAUCAGGGUUAGUGUUAAAUUGGUUUUACAACAGUUAAAGGAUUAAGUUAGGGUUUUAUUUAAAUCAGUGAAAUAGUGAUCACAAGAAAUAUAUAGAGAGAACUAUAAUAUGAAGAACAUGGGUAGUUGAGGAGAGUGUUUGGAAUUGUCUUGCCCACUU